ACUGCUCAGUAACACGUGGAUAACCUGCCCUUGGGUCCGGCAUAACCCCGGGAAACUGGGGAUAAUUCCGGAUAACGCACAUAUGCUGGAAUGCUUUAUGCGUAAAAUGGAUUCGUCUGCCCAAGGAUGGGUCUGCGGCCUAUCAGGUAGUAGUGGGUGUAAUGUACCUACUAGCCUACAACGGGUACGGGUUGUGAGAGCAAGAGCCCGGAGAUGGAUUCUGAGACAUGAAUCCAGGCCCUACGGGGCGCAGCAGGCGCGAAAACUUUACAAUGCGGGAAACCGUGAUAAGGGGACACCGAGUGCUAGCAUCAUAUGCUGGCUGUCCAGGUGUGUAAAAUACACCUGUUAGCAAGGGCCGGGCAAGACCGGUGCCAGCCGCCGCGGUAACACCGGCGGCCCGAGUGGUGAUCGUGAUUAUUGGGUCUAAAGGGUACGUAGCCGGUUUGGUCAGUCCUCCGGGAAAUCUGACAGCUCAACUGUUAGGCUUUCGGGGGAUACUGCCAGACUUGGAACCGGGAGAGGUAAGAGGUACUACAGGGGUAGGAGUGAAAUCUUGUAAUCCCUGUGGGACCACCUGUGGCGAAGGCGUCUUACCAGAACGGGUUCGACGGUGAGGGACGAAAGCUGGGGGCACGAACCGGAUUAGAUACCCGGGUAGUCCCAGCCGUAAACGAUGCUCGCUAGGUGUCAGGCAUGGCGCGACCGUGUCUGGUGCCGCAGGGAAGCCGUGAAGCAAGCCACCUGGGAAGUACGGCCGCAAGGCUGAAACUUAAAGGAAUUGGCGGGGAGCAC
rnacentral:rRNA from 1 species